GAUGAAGAACGUAGCGAAAUGCGAUAAGUAAUGCGAAUUGCAGAAUUCAGUGAGUCAUCGAAUCUUUGAACGCACAUUGCGCCCUGUGGUAUUCCGCAGGGCAUGCCUGUUCGAGCGUCAUUUCAACCCUCAAGCUCUGCUUGGUGUUGGGCCCUGCCCGCUGCGGCCGGCCCUAAAGACAGUGGCGGUGCCGCCUGGCCCUGAGCGUAGUACAUCUCUCGCUCCAGUGCCCGGUGGUAGCCUGUCAGAACCCCAACUCUCGUGGUUGACCUCGGAUCAGGUAGGGAUACCCGCUGAACUUAAGCAUAUCAAUAAGCGGAGGA
rnacentral:misc_RNA from 1 species